UGGGGAAUAUUGCACAAUGGGGGAAACCCUGAUGCAGCGACGCCGCGUGAGUGAAGAAGUAUUUCGGUAUGUAAAGCUCUAUCAGCAGGGAAGAAAAUGACGGUACCUGACUAAGAAGCACCGGCUAAAUACGUGCCAGCAGCCGCGGUAAUACGUAUGGUGCAAGCGUUAUCCGGAUUUACUGGGUGUAAAGGGAGCGUAGGUGGCAAGGCAAGCCAGAAGUGAAAACCCGGGGCUCAACCGCGGGAUUGCUUUUGGAACUGUCAUGCUAGAGUGCAGGAGGGGUGAGCGGAAUUCCUAGUGUAGCGGUG
rnacentral:rRNA from 1 species